GUGUGGGGGGUGUAGGGGGCGCUGAGGGGCGGCAGGAACCCGGGCAGGGGAAGGUCGACCUCUGGAAGUGGAACGCGGGUCUCCACGCAGAUUCCUGUCCAGUGACUGUGGUGAAUGCGGAUUUCUUUCUUUUUUUCUUCAGAAAAGGUUCUUAAGGCCUCCCCAGGAGAUGCUGUUGCCAUGCUUUCUUACAGCUUGCAAAACAGAACCCUGUGGAGGAGACAGAUAUUUGUCAGCGAAACUGAGUUAGGAAAGGAUGAAGAGAGCUGAGGAAAUCAGUCACGCACGCUAACGUAGAGGCUGCAAAUAGAGAACAGUCUGCAAAAACUUGACAAUCACAUAAAGCAUGCUUUCUGGGAAUGGCACCAAGAUACUAACUAAUAUCCAGUCCUAAAUAUGAAUAUGCCAGGCUGGAGUGGAGUGGUACGAUCUCAGCUCACUGCAGCCUGCUAAUUUUUUUGUAUUUUUAGUAGAGAUGGGUUUCACCAUAUUGGCCAGGAUGGUCUCAAUCUCCUGACUUC